rnacentral:rRNA from 1 species
CUUGGAAGCAGCCAUUCAUUUAAAGAGUGCGUAACAGCUCACUAGUCGAGCGAUCCCGCGUGGAUAAUACACGGGCAUCAAACUGUCAACCGAAGCCGUGGGGUCAGUGUUGAACUGACCGGUAGGAGAGCAUUCCUGCCAGCGUUGAAGGUCACCCGCGAGAGUGACUGGAGCGGCAUGAAAAGCAAAUGUAGGCAUAAGUAACGAUAAUGGGGGCGAGAACCCCCCACGCCGCAAGACCAAGGAUUCCCCGGCAAUGUCAAUCAGCCGGGGGUCAGCCGGCCUCUAAGGCUAACCCGAAGGGGGACGCCGACGAGAAACGGGUUAACAUUCCCGUGCUUCUCGUCACCGUGACGCGGUGACGGGGUGAUGAAUGGACCGCGCGCUGACGGAAUAGCGCGUUGAAGACCGUACCCUUUGACGGUGGUAGUCAAGCACGCCACCGGAGGCGAAAGUCGAUAGUACCUCGAGGCCUCGGCCGAGGGGAUAGCGUCCAGGCAAUUUACCCCCGAGAAAACCCGCUAAACUUCAAGUGACGAGGAACCGUACUGUAAACGGACACACGUGGUCGGGUAGAACAUACCAAGGCGCUCGAGUGAUUCAUGGUCAAGGAACUAGGCAAAAUAGUCCUGUAACCUCGGGAAAAAGGACGCUCUAGUGAUAGAGCCGCAGAGUAAUGGCCCAGGCGACUGUUUACCAAAAACACAUGGCUAUGCCAAAUCGAAAGAUGACGUAUAUGGCCUGACACCUGCCCGGUGCCGGAAGGUUAAGAGGAGAGCUCAGGGGUGACCCGAAGGUUCAAAUUGAAGCCCCGGUAAACGGCGGCCGUAACUAUAACGGUCCUAAGGUAGCGAAAUUCCUUGUCGGGUAAGUUCCGACCUGCACGAAUGGUGUAACGAUCUGGGCACUGUCUCGACCAUGAGCUCGGUGAAAUUGUAGUUCCGGUGAAGAUGCCGGGUACCCGCGACGGGACGGAAAGACCCCGUGAACCUUUACUGCAGCUUCGCGUUGUUCCCGGGCACGGGACGUGUAGGAUAGGUCGGAGGCAAUGAAGCGGUUUCGCCAGGAAUCGUGGAGCCAUCGUUGAAAUACGACCCUUCUCUUGUCUGGGAUCUAACCCAUGUGAUGGGGACACCGCGUGGUGGGUAGUUUGACUGGGGUGGUCGCCUCCAAAAGCGUAACGGAGGCUUCCAAAGGUACCCUCGGGUUGGUUGGUAAUCAACCUUGGAGUGCAAUGGCACAAGGGUGCUUGACCGGGAGACUUACAAGUCGAUCGGGUGCGAAAGCAGGGCAUAGUGAUCCGGUGAUCCCGCGUGGAAGGGUCAUCGCUCAAAGGAUAAAAGGUACUCCGGGGAUAACAGGCUGAUCGCCCCCAAGAGCUCAUAUCGACGGGGCGGUUUGGCACCUCGAUGUCGGCUCGUCACAUCCUGGGGCUGGAGAAGGUCCC